AGUGGGUUGGAUGGUGCCCACCGCGGUGGUGAGGGUGAUCUUCUUUACUCCAUCCACCCAUCCAAAUGCUGAUCUCCUCCAGAAAUGCCCUCACAGACAUGCCCAGAAAUAAUGUUUCACCAGCUACCUGGGCAUUCCUUAGCCCAGUCGAGCUGACAUGUAAAAUCAACCGUCACAAAUAACUGCAUUUGAAGGGUAAAAGCCCCAUGUCUCCUCGGCCAGUGGGUGUUUAUCAGAGGACAAUGGAAAAGAGGGACAAAGAUGCCUGGAUAUAACAUUAAGAGUUGGCAGGACCCGACCUCUAAAAGGAAGUGUUAAAACAAUGUUUUUGACAUCAAGGCUUUUCUCAAAGUAGAUAAAGGAGAGCUUGUGGAAAAGCUCAUGUGCUGUCUCUUCAGUGGAGAGUUCAAUCCAGGAAUAAGAUGUGAUUAAGGAUCUUGAGAUGGAGGGUUACCUUGGAUUAUCUGGGCAAAGCACUGCCCGUUUCUUCAACUCUGGAGCUGUGGAGGAGUAUUUUUUUGGGACUGGAGGCCAUACCCAUCCCUUCUCUGGGCGUGUCAUCUCCCUCUGUCUCAUGGGGAAACUCACACCAUGCACUGGAGCUUCAGCAGGAAGCACUGAUUUGGCUUCUGUUCCUGGUCCAAUCCAAGUCCCAGCAUCGUCGGCGAGAGGAAGAGCCGUUGCCAUGGACUAAAAGGCCAGUGUGCGCGGACAUCCCCUCCACCACCUCUCACGGACGGAGCGGCCCCGCAAGGCAGACAUCACAGCCUUCAGUUUACAGUGGCCACAGAUAUUCACUGAGGGCCUCUCCUGCCAUUGGCUCUGCUUGGAUGGUGAGAAAACACAGUCCCUGCCCUCGUGGUGCUCACAUUCUAGUGGAGAAGAAAGAUAAUAAACACGCAUAUAAAAUGACGCCAGGUAGUGUGAUGACGAAAAUAUGCAGAGGUUCUCCUGUCUGACUUUCCCAGCACACUGUGAACCCCGAGAGCAGGUCCUGUGGGAUCCAGCACAGAGUAUUCACGUGGUGUUAGGUGGUGAAUGAAUGAACAGUUGAAAGGAGCAUUCGUUGGACCUCUAACUAUCUUCCCAGUCUUCCCAGCACUGGAGGAUGUAAAAGAAAUAAGAGCUAAUGUUACUUGUUACAGCUGGAAAGUUUUCUCUUCUUGAAGAAGAUCUCUGUGGUAUUUUCAGAGAUAAAAAGGAAUCUUCCCUCUGACUAGAAGAUCACUGUUGGUUCAUACAGGCAGACACAUCCCUAUAAACAUCUUCUGUCUGCCGUUAAGUCACCGUUCAAGUAGAUUACCCCCCAGACACGUAAAAAAUGAUGGUUCUGUACUACAGGUUUUCAUUCCUAUUAACUUCUAUGGCAUGUGAUCUUGAACAAACAUUUGUAGUCAAUAUUUGAUAAAAAGUCCGAUUCCGUCAAGUAAACAAAGCAUUAGAAAAAAUAAUUUCAUUCCUUUGCUAAACUAAAUCCAUUAAGACUCUAACACAAGUAGAACUGGGGCCAAAGGAUAUUGGAAACAAAACAAAACAAGUGAGACUCAUUACACAUUUGCAUUUUGAAAUUAGUUGCUGCCCUAAUUAUUUGUCAGUAGAAGCAUAAAUUAGGCAAAUAAAACUUAGAGUGAGCUUUUAGGCACCCACAGGAUUCUCUCCUCAAGAGUAAAUUGUCAUAACGGUUCAGUGUGACGGUUUACUUUUGCUGUCUUUCUGUGAUGGAGGAACGACAGGAAAUUGAAAUGGAGCCCAUGGAAAUGAAACAGACUCCAGAGAAAGAGAUAGACGCAGGUGGGUACUUGUGGUUUCCCCUGUAAGGUGUGGGUAGGUAAAAACAAAUAAACCAAGCAUGUUGGGACCAGGAGCUGCUUUGGAAAUAUUACCUAUUAAGUGUGACUUCAUGACUCCAACGUGGAACUAAAAGAUGAAAGAUGCAGUUAGCUUGGAGCUGUUGUUCAUCUUGCUGACAUAAAUAGGAUUGAAUGAUUGGAGUAUUUGCUCUAUCUGCUUUCCCAUACACCACACCAUGUCCAUGGAGCUAGGGGCUUCUACUACAGCUGGAACGUUUCUUUCUGUUGCAUAAUUAGGCAUACAUUGUUGGUGGCCUCUCUCAAAAGCUAUGAAACAGCACAAUGAUGCUAAGUAACAAACAGCUCCAAAUCCCAGUGACUUAAAUCAACCCCUACUUUUGCUUGCACUCCAGGGCUUUGGGUCAGCUGUGGCUCAGCUGAACCGGGCUGGGUUCUGUUGGGUAGCUCUCCUCCAGGUACAUUCCACAGGUGUGCGGGCCAGUUGGGACAACCCUGCGUCAGGCUGCAGGUGGAGCUCAGGUCUGUUUCAUCUGCCUCUCAUUCUGCAAGGAUCGUUGGAGGGCUUAGAGCUAUCUGGCCCGUGAUCUUUCCAAGGUGGAGGUGGGUGCUCUCAGAGGAGUGAGUGUGAACACGCACACCUUAGGCCUGGACUCCAAAUUGGCACGUGGCGUGUCUGCCCACGUUUUAUUGGCUAAGGGAAGUCCCGUCGUCAAGCUCAACAUCCUUGGGAUAAGAAAGC